rnacentral:rRNA from 1 species
GACGAACGCUGGCGGCGUGCUUAACACAUGCAAGUCGAACGGAAAGGCCCUGCUUUUGUGGGGUGCUCGAGUGGCGAACGGGUGAGUAACACGUGAGUAACCUGCCCUUGACUUUGGGAUAACUUCAGGAAACUGGGGCUAAUACCGGAUAGGAGCUCCUGCUGCAUGGUGGGGGUUGGAAAGUUUCGGCGGGUGGGGAUGGACUCGCGGCUUAUCAGCUUGUUGGUGGGGUAGUGGCUUACCAAGGCUUUGACGGGUAGCCGGCCUGAGAGGGUGACCGGCCACAUGGGGACUGAGGUACGGACCAGACUCCUACGGGAGGCAGCAGUGGGGAAUAUUGUACAACGGGCGGAAGCCUGAUGCAGCAACGCCGCGUUCGGGAUGCCGGCCUUUGGGUUGUGAACCGCUUUCGCCUGUGACGAAGCGUGAGUGACGGUAAUGGGUAAAUAAGCACCGGCUAACUUCGUG